rfam:Lyngbya sp. PCC 8106 1099428180503, whole genome shotgun sequence.
CCUCCUGUGGCGGAAUUGGAAGACGCAGCAGACUUAAAAUCUGUUCUAUUUUGCAGGUUCAAAUCCUGUCAGGAGGA